UUGCGCUGACUCGUUUGGUUUGAGAAACGAACGUUCAACAGGCAUGCUGAAAAUGGAAUUUGCUGCACGGGUGCCGCCUUUAUCAAGAAGAGUCACAGUGGUCGAUUUGCAACUGUGCUGCAAACUGUCCUUCUCUUUCCACACCAACGCAGCACUGAUAUUUGCCACGGUUCUUCAAAAAAUGGACUCAUAUUUAUUUUUGCACAUCUUACGUUGACCAUCUUUGGAAAUGCUUUUACUUUCACAUGAUUAACAGAGAAAAUUGGCAAUUGUAUUCAGUUUGGUGAAAAAAAUUUACUUGUUUUUGUUUUUUACUUCACAACCAACAAUCAAUUUUUCUUGAAUAACGCACAACCAUGGAGAGCCAAUUAUGGAAAUCGGAUUUACAUGCGGCAUGGGUACAGGGUUCAUUUUCAAAUCAAAUGUUAACACAGUAGCGGGAGAAUGGUGCGACUAAAACUAGCGAAAUGUAUUCGAAAGACGACCUUCUUUUUCUUCUUACAACCAACAUUUAAACGCCAUUUCAAAUGUUUAAAUUCAACAUUAAGACAAUAAACAGCAGCAAUAUGAAAAUGCACAAUUUUAAACAGGAAAUACACACCGUAAAAAACAAGUGACUUUUGCUGGGCUGGUUCUUUUUCAAAAGCGUGAACAUUUCUGCGGUAACGUUUGUCACAUUUUCAAUUUCACUUUCUUUCUUUUCGCGGUUCAGCUUCAACUUCUUCAACUCUUCAGUUAAAUCUGAAAUUAUAUCCGAUUCCAUGGUCAUAAGAUGCUUAAAAAAUAUAAAGAAAUUUUAAAAAAUGAAAUAAAAUAUUGACAUUCAUCAAUAAAAGAACAAUCGUCAUAAAAUAACAACUUUAACCGAAGAUCAUCAUAGAAAGAUACAAGCAUAGUAAACUGUAGUCCCCGAUAGAAUAAUGUAGGUAAGGGAAGUCGGCAAAACGGAUCCGUAACUUCGGAACAAGGAUUGGCUCUAAGGGCUGGGCCGAUCGGGCUGAGGUUUCAAGCGUGCAGUGUAUGCUUGGCUGAGUUGUGUUGAGGACUUGUUCACUUGCCGCCGUUUGUUCGGUUGGUCUAGUGUAUUCGAGUCUGAAGCAGAGCUGGCCGACAGACCGGCACGUGCAGAACCUGAGCUGCGCGGCUGUCCGUUUACGUGUACAGACCGUUUCGGUCGGCAUUCAACAGCCAACUUAGAACUGGCACGGACACAAGGAAUCUGACUGUAUAAUUAAAACAAAGCAUUGCGAUGGCCGAUGAUCGGUGAUGACGCAAUGUGAUCUCUGCCCAGUGCUCUGAAUGUCAAAGUGGAGGAAAUUCAAUCAAGCGCGGGUAAACGGCGGGAGUAACUAUGACUCUCUUAAGGUAGCCAAAUGCCUCGUCAUCUAAUUAGUGACGCGUAUGAAUGGAUCAACAAGAUUCCUUCUGUCCCUAUCUACUAUCUAGCGAAACCACAGCCAAGGGAACGGGCUUGGCGAAAUCAGCGGGGAAAGAAGACCCUGUUGAGCUUGACUCUAGUCUGACUCUGUGAAGAGACAUGAAAGGUGUAGCAUAGGUGGGAGAUUGUCAAAUUGCCAUCGUUCGCGCGGUGGUCCGGUGAUCGCCAAUGAAAUACCACUACUUUGAUCGUUUCUUUACUUAUUCGGUAAAGCGAAAAAAUUGUGGCCAAUUUGGCGGUGUUUAUGUCGCUGUUGGUCAUUGUUUUCAUGUUAGAUUGAAGCUUUGUUUACAGCCGUCGCUUUGUGUCGCCAUUUGACGCAUUGUUGUACUGGGUUAUCCCGGUGUGUGGUGUAGUCAGUAUGGAUGAUCGGCGAUAGGUUUGAAGUGAUUCGCUCCGGAAACAGUGUCAGACGGGGAGUUUGACUGGGGCGGUACAUCUGUUAAACGAUAACGCAGGUGUCCUAAGGUAAGCUCAGCGAGGACAGAAACCUCGCUUAGAGUAAACGGGCACAAGCUUACUUGAUUUUGAUUUCCAGUACGAAUAGAAACCGCGAAAGCGUGGCCUAUCGAUCCUUUUGAUUGUGUAGAUUUCAUGCAAGAGGUGUCAGAAAAGUUACCACAGGGAUAACUGGCUUGUGGCAGCCAAGCGUCCAUAGCGACGUUGCUUUUUGAUCCUUCGAUGUCGGCUCUUCCUAUCAUUGCGAAGCAGAAUUCGCCAAGCGUUGGAUUGUUCACCCACCAAUAGGGAACGUGAGCUGGGUUUAGACCGUCGUGAGACAGGUUAGUUUUACCCUACUGAUGACAAGUCGUUGCGAUAGUAAUCCUGCUCAGUACGAGAGGAACCGCGGGAUCAGACAUUUGGUUCAUGCGCUCGGCUGAAAGGCCGGUGGCGCGAAGCUAGCAUCUGCAAGAUUAUGACUGAACGCCUCUAAGUCAGAAUCUUUUCUAGUCAUUGGCAACGAUAAGUUGCGUCCAGACUCGAUGCGAGGAAACGAUUAGGCUUUGCUAUACGGCGAAGCCAUUAUCAGACCACGGUAGCAGGCAGUAUGGGAUUGUUACGAAAAAGCAAUUUUUUGAAGUCAGUUGAAUUCAAUCAAACUGCUAACAAUUCCACUGCGAAUGACUCCAUUCGAAUCAAU
rnacentral:rRNA from 1 species